AUCGCUUCUCGGCCUUUUGGCUAAGAUCAAGUGCAGAAUCAAAUCCCAGACCCUUCUGUUUGCAGAAAGACCCUCUAAGUGCUGAGCCAAACUGGGCAGUGCUGAAAUUAAAACAUUUUAUUUUAUUUUAUUUUUUUAUCCUCACUCGAGGACAUUUUUCCAUUUUUUGUUCAGAUAGAGUGGGAGGGAGAAAGAGA